AUCGCUUCUCGGCCUUUUGGCUCAGAUCAAGUGUAGUAUCUGGUCUUAUAAGUUUAAUAUCUGAUACGUCCCCCAUCGGGGGACUACAUAUUAAAUGGAUUUUUCGAACAGGGAGUCGGAAAUGGGGCUUGCUCCGUCCGCUCCACGCAUCGACCCGGUAUUGCAGUACCUCCGGGAAUGGUGCAACACUU
rnacentral:snRNA from 8 species